AAAAACCGAACCAUCGCCGGAGGAGCGAUGUGCGGGAGGGAGCCGCGGGCAGCAGCACCCACCGCUGCUGGGGCUGCGUGCGGGGACAGACGGUGACACCAGCCUCCGGCCACCCGGUGACCCGGCCACCAGGCGGGACAGCUGCCAUGCCUUCUGCUGUGGGUACGUGGUGGAGGGGCCGUGGGCAGCCUGUGGCAGCUCAGGCGGGGACAGUGAUGGGGGUGCUGUGAACAUGGGGCCGAGCAGUGCGAAUUGCCCCUGCUGCCACGGUGGCCGUGCUGGGGGCUGGGGGCCUGCUCUGGGUGCCCCUGACCCGGCUCUGGGCACAGCGCUGGGGCGGCUGGAGGCUCGCUUGCAGGGCCUUGGUCCUGGUCCAGUUCUUUUCGUUUCGUUUUGUUUUGCCUUCCUUCGCUUUGGGUGGGGACAGAGAACUUGGCCUCCAGAAGAACAGCGAUUCAGUGCAAACCUCAGCCCCCCUGCAGCUCAUAGUGCUGAAAGUAAAAGCACAGCAGAGGAGGGACAGCACUGGCAAGGCGGCCACCAGGGCUGAGAAGUGACAAGUGGAGCCGUGGCUGCACAGAGGAACGGACUCCUAGAAGACCAGGACGUCCGACUUGUUCUGAGUGGCAGAAGUGAAUGAAACCAGUUUUGUUGUAACAGCCAAACGUGCUUCUUGUGCAGACUGGGGCAGGCACUUUGGAAGGGGUAUUUCAGUGGGCUUGUGCCCCACUUUCAGAUGGUGCGGAGGUGGCAGUGGAGGUGCUGGGGCGCUGCCCGUCCCCAGGGGCCAGCACCAGCAGGGCCGUGCCCCCAUUCAGCUGGCGGUCGAGCUGUGCCCAUUGCCACUGGCACCUGUGGUGGGACAAAAAGAGCAGAGCACCGCCGCGCAGUUCCUGCGGUCCCUCACCAGGCCGGCUUUGCAGAAGGAUGGGAUGCCCGAAGUGGCUGUGGAUUUAGUGCAGGGCCACGUGAAGGCUGGCUGCCUGCGGAGCUGGAGACAGGCCUGGAAGCCGACCUCCAAACGAGCUCCCCCCACUGCAGCUGAGCCGCGCAUCUUGUGCUCCCACCUGUGCCGCGAGGCUGUUCCUGCGCGCUGGCGCUGCUGGCGAGGGUCAGCACCGCGCCCCCCAUGGCACAGCUGGUGCAGCCAGCCCAUUUUUUAACUGCUGACGUUGACAGAGAUAGAGAUAUUCAUUCACGUGACUUUUGCUUACUUUCAGUUUGAUUCACGCUUUCUAAAAGUAUUUAAGCUAAAUACUCCUUGUGAAGCCCAUGAGGAACUUAAUUCUUUAAGAGCCUGUAAGCCGGCCAAAUGCACUCUUUUAUUUGUUUAUCACCUCAACAGUACCCCAAGGUCCAUGAACGGCAUAUGAAGUGUGCAGUAAAUCACACACUUAAAUACUUACAUUUUUAUUUGUUUGUUCAAAACUGCUUUACAGCAAGUAAUCAGCAACACCAGGGUCUGACCGAACUACUUACACACUUUCACCCUGAGGAUUAGAUGUUGCACAUGGGGGUGUCACAGGCAAGGUAGCUGCGAGGGUAGGCUUAAUUUUUUUACUUUUCCAUGUCUUCUCUUGAUUUUAGUCCAUAUAAGUAAAGCUGAACUUUUAACUGCUGUUUUUGUUUCAAAUUGUCCUCAGAUUAUGCAUUUCUGCACUGUUACUUCACUUCCUGAUAUGUUCACGCAAGAAUUGCAGAAUAGAAAGUCUCACAAAUAAGCUUAGAGUUGAAAUAAUUGUCUUUUGAUAAAGAAAAGCAGUUCAGCAACUUGCAGGCUGACUUUUUAAAUAAAUUGUGCCCUCUCAGCUACCGUAAGGUGUGA
rnacentral:lncRNA from 1 species